AGUGAACGCUGGCGGUAGGCCUAACACAUGCAAGUCGAACGGCAGCACAGUAAGAGCUUGCUCUUACGGGUGGCGAGUGGCGGACGGGUGAGGAAUACAUCGGAAUCUACUUUUUCGUGGGGGAUAACGUAGGGAAACUUACGCUAAUACCGCAUACGACCUACGGGUGAAAGCAGGGGAUCUUCGGACCUUGCGCGAUUGAAUGAGCCGAUGUCGGAUUAGCUAGUUGGCGGGGUAAAGGCCCACCAAGGCGACGAUCCGUAGCUGGUCUGAGAGGAUGAGCAGCCCCCCGGGAACGAGGACCCGGUCCGGCCCCCUACGGGAGGCAGAAGUGGGGAAUAUUGGACAAGGGGGGCAAGCCGAAUCCAGCCAUACCGCGUGGGGAAAGAAGGCCUUGGGGGUGAAAAGCCCUUUUGUGGGGAAAAAAAAGCGGCAGGUUAAAACCCCGCUGUUCUGGCGGUACCCAAAAAAAAAGCACCGGCAAACUUCG
rnacentral:rRNA from 1 species